GGCUCAGGACGAACGCUGGCGGCGUGCCUAAUACAUGCAAGUCGAGCGGACUUGAUGGAGAGCUUGCUCUCCUGAUGGUUAGCGGCGGACGGGUGAGUAACACGUAGGCAACCUGCCUGCAAGACCGGGAUAACCCACGGAAACGUGAGCUAAUACCGGAUAUCUCAUUUCCUCUCCUGAGGGAAUGAUGAAAGACGGAGCAAUCUGUCACUUGCGGAUGGGCCUGCGGCGCAUUAGCUAGUUGGUGAGGUAACGGCUCACCAAGGCGACGAUGCGUAGCCGACCUGAGAGGGUGAACGGCCACACUGGGACUGAGACACGGCCCAGACUCCUACGGGAGGCAGCAGUAGGGAAUCUUCCGCAAUGGGCGAAAGCCUGACGGAGCAACGCCGCGUGAGUGAUGAAGGUUUUCGGAUCGUAAAGCUCUGUUGCCAGGGAAGAACGUCCGGUAGAGUAACUGCUAUCGGAGUGACGGUACCUGAGAAGAAAGCCCCGGCUAACUACGUGCCAGCAGCCGCGGUAAUACGUAGGGGGCAAGCGUUGUCCGGAAUUAUUGGGCGUAAAGCGCGCGCAGGCGGUCAUUUAAGUCUGGUGUUUAAGGCCAAGGCUCAACCUUGGUUCGCACUGGAAACUGGGUGACUUGAGUGCAGAAGAGGAGAGUGGAAUUCCACGUGUAGCGGUGAAAUGCGUAGAUAUGUGGAGGAACACCAGUGGCGAAGGCGACUUUCUGGGCUGUAACAGACGUUGAGGCGCGAAAGCGUGGGGAGCAAACAGGAUUAGAUACCCUGGUAGUCCACGCCGUAAA
rnacentral:rRNA from 1 species